AGAGUUUGAUCCUGGCUCAGGAUAAACGCUGGCGGCGUGCCUUAUGCAUGCAAGUCGAACGAGUUAUCUUUGGUAACUAGUGGCGGACGGGUGAGUAAUACGUAAGUAACCUACCCUUAAGUAGGGAAUAAGUCUGAGAAAUCGGAGCUAAUACCGUAUGUGAUGAUGGGGGUAGUGCUCCAUCAUUAAAGCCUUAGGGCGCUUGAGGAUGGGCUUGCGUCUGAUUAGCUAGUUGGUAGGGUAAUGGCUUACCAAGGCGAUGAUCAGUAGCUGGUCUGAGAGGAUGGUCAGCCACACUGGGACUGAGAUACGGCCCAGACUCCUACGGGAGGCAGCAGCAAGGAAUUUUGUGCAAUGGGCGAAAGCCUGACACAGCGACGCCGCGUGGGGGAUGAAGGCCUUCGGGUUGUAAACCCCUUUUCUCAGGGAAGAAUGAUGACGGUACCUGAGGAAUAAGUCACGGCUAACUACGUGCCAGCAGCCGCGGUAAUACGUAGGUGGCAAGCGUUAUCCAGAUUUAUUGGGCGUACAGAGGGUGUAGGUGGUUUUUCAAGUCGGAUGUGAAAUCUCCCGGCUUAACUGGGAGGGUGCAUUCGAUACUGUUAGGCUAGAGGGCAGCAGAGGGAGGUGGAAUUCCCGGUGGAGUGGUGAAAUGCGUAGAUAUCGGGAGGAACACCAGUGGCGAAGGCGGCCUCCUGGGCUGUUUCUGACACUGAGACCCAAAAGCGUGGGGAGCAAACAGGAUUAGAUACCCUGGUAGUCC
rnacentral:rRNA from 1 species